rnacentral:lncRNA from 1 species
CCCGCACACCCGUCGGAUACCGGGGAGAUUCGGGACGAGGUUGGGAGGGGACACUUGUCUCCUAGUACACCACGUUGGAAGGGCACCACGGCGUGUCGGGGUACAGCAGGCAGUGCACAGAGCGAAACCUGGAUGGGUCCUCCUCCACGGAGAAGGCUCCCUUCAUGUGGAUGGAGUUGCGCUUGUUUUCAAACAUGCCAUAGCUUAGUGUCAC